rnacentral:rRNA from 1 species
GGGGGGGGGGGGGGGGGGGGGGGGGGCAUGCAGGUCGAGCGGAGGGGCGCGGCUUUUGUGGGGUGCUCGAGUGGGGAGCGGGUGAGUAACACGUGAGUAACCUGCCCUUGACUUUGGGAUAACUUCAGGAAACUGGGGCUAAUACCGGAUAGGAGCUCCUGCUGCAUGGUGGGGGUUGGAAAGUUUCGGCGGUUGGGGAUGGACUCGCGGCUUAUCAGCUUGUUGGUGGGGUAGUGGCUUACCAAGGCUUUGACGGGUAGCCGGCCUGAGAGGGUGACCGGCCACAUUGGUACUGAGAUACGGCCCAGACUCCUACGGGAGGCAGCAGUGGGGAAUAUUGCACAAUGGGCGGAAGCCUGAUGCAGCAACGCCGCGUGCGGGAUGACGGCCUUCGGGUUGUAAACCGCUUUCGCCUGUGACGAAGCGUGAGUGACGGUAAUGGGUAAAGAAGCACCGGCUAACUACGUG